rnacentral:rRNA from 1 species
GACGAACGCUGGCGACGUGCUUAACACAUGCAAGUCGAACGGGUCUGCCCUGUUUUUUGCGGGGUGGGUCAGUGGCGAACGGGUGAGUAACACGUGAGUAACCUGCCCCUCACUUCUGGAUAACCGCUUGAAAGGGUGGCUAAUACGGGGUGUUCUGGCUGUGCCGCAUGGUGUGGCUGGGAAAGAUUCACUUUUGUGGUGUUUUGGUGGGGGAUGGGCUCGCGGCCUAUCAGCUUGUUGGUGGGGUGAUGGCCUGCCAAGGCUUUGACGGGUAGCCGGCCUGAGAGGGUGGGCGGUCACACUGGGACUGAGAUACGGCCCAGACUCCUGCGGGAGGCAGCAGUGGGGGGUAUUGCACAAUGGGCGGAAGCCUGAUGCAGCGACGUCGCGUGAGGGAUGGAGGCCUUCGGGUUGUGAACCUCUUUCGCCGGUGAAGAAGGUCCUGCUCUUUGUGGUGGGGUUGACGGUAGCCGGGUUAUGAAGCGCCGGCUAACUACGUG